rnacentral:rRNA from 1 species
UAAAAAGCUCGUAGUUGGAUCUGUGUAUCGAACGGUCGGUUCGCCGCUCGCGGUGUUUGACUGACCGGUUCGGACGUCAUGCCGGUGGGACCUCGGCGCAAGUCGGGGUUCCGUAACUUACCCUCCGCGCUGCUCUUUAUUGAGUGGUUCGGUGGGCCGGCACGUUUACUUUGAACAAAUUUGAGUGCUCAAAGCAGGCCUUAUGUUGCCUGGAAACUGUGUGCAUGGAAUAAUGAAAGAAGACCUUGGUUCUAUUUUGUUGGCUUUUCUGAACUCGAGGUAAUGAUUAACAGGGACAGACGGGGGCAUUCGUAUUGCGACGUUAGAGGUGAAAUUCUUGGAUCGUCGCAAGACGGACCGAUGCGAAAGCGUUUGCCAAGAAUGUUUUCGCUAAUCAAGAACGAAAGUUAGAGGUUCGAAGGCGAUUAGAUACCGCCCUAGUUCUAACCAUAAACGAUGUCAGCCAGCGAUGCGCCGAUGUUCCUCCGAUGACACGGCGCGCAACUUCCGGGAAACCAAAGCUUUUGGGUUCCGGGG